rnacentral:misc_RNA from 1 species
UAUGGGAAGAUUAGAUGGUUUUGGAGGAGGGGGAGGCUCCUCUGUCAGGGAGCUCUGUGCACGGGCCAUGGCAAUUGUUUAUGAACAACACUACAACACAGUUGGCUCAUUUGAAGGAACAGCGCACAUUACAGUUCUCUUGGACCGGACUGAUGAUAGAGCUUUACGGCACCGUCUUCUUCUUCUUCUAAAGGUUUUGAUGAAGGUUUUGACUAAUGUAGAGGCAUGUGUCUUGGUUGGAGGCUGUGUACUAGCUGUUGACCUACUAACAGUAGUUCAUGAAGCUUCAGAAAGAACAGCUAUACCUCUGCAGUCGAAUUUGA